AUCUUUGCGCUUGGGGCAAUGACGCAGCUAGUGAGGUAUUAACUGAGGCGCGUCUAUUAUAAUAAUUUGCUCAUACAGAGUUGUGUUUUUGCAUAUAUCAAUAUUAAAUAGGCAAAUUAAUUCUUCAACCAAAUAUUUUU
rnacentral:snRNA from 2 species